rnacentral:lncRNA from 1 species
GCAGUUUGAUCUCAGACUGCCCUGCUAGCAAUCAGCGAGACUCCGUGGGUGUAGGACCCUCCAAGCCAGGUGCCGGAGAUAAUCUCGUGGUGCGCCGUUUUUUAAGCCCGUUGGAGAAGCGCAGUAUUCGGGUGGGAGUGACCCGAUUUUCCAGGUGCUGUCUGUCACCCCUUUCUUUGACUUGGAAAGGGAACUCCCUGACCCCUUGCGCUUCCCAAGUGAGGCAAUGCCUCGCCCUGCUUCGGCUCGCGCACAGUGCGCGCACCCACUGACCUGAGCCCACUCUCUGGCACUCCCUAGUGAGAUGAACCUGGUACCUCAGAUGGAAAUGCAGAAAUCACCUGUCUUCUGCCUCGCUCACACUGGGAGCUGUAGACCGGAGCUGUUCCUGUUCGGCCAUCUUGGCUCCUCCCGGAAGGUACAUUUUUAAAGCCCCUUUUCUGCACUACUCCUGGGGAAUGAAGCCUCUGAAAGUGCUUAUGCAUCCACAUAAAAUGGAGAACAGUAGCUUCCCUGGAAGAUGCCCUCCACUGGUGCCCAGUGCCUUUUGCAUGUAUAUCACCAGGCAAGACAAUAUAAACACCACAGUCUCCCACCUCAAAGAAGAAUGAAAAGAGGGAUUAUUUUAAUUCCUGCUGUCAUCCCUAAAAUUGGGGUCAUAUUUAUAGAGAAGAGAAAAAUCAAUAUAAGAUGAGAAAGAAGAAAACUGCAGAGAGAUCAUCUCUUCUGCCUCAAGCCAAUUACUGAAGAUGGUAAGAUGGGAGAGUGGCAGAGCCAGAAAAAGAAGCCGCCUUGACUCUGCCAAGCACUCACUCCUGCUGCCAACUCCAACUCUUUGUCUGCAGACAGUCUGUGCAGCCGACUAGGACCUGCCUCAAGCACCGCAUCUGCCCGGGGCUCUUUCCCAGUAUAGUUUCCUGCUCUCCAGCCCACCCCGGAGGAUGUCACUUUCAGAUCCCUCUCCCAGUCCUCCGCGACAGCUUCCUGUCAGUUGACUCUCCCCCACAAGUCUUUUUUGACAAAUCUCAGAGAUGCAACAGCUGGUCACCCUUCAAGACUUCCACAUGUCUCUGCUGCCACUUACACAGAUUUCUUUCUUCCUUAUUGAUUUUUUUUUU